rnacentral:rRNA from 1 species
GGCCUCUGGGCUGUAAACCUCUUUUCUCAAGGAAGAAGAUCUGACGGUACUUGAGGAAUAAGCCACGGCUAAUUCCGUGCCAGCAGCCGCGGUAAUANCGGGAGUGGCAAGCGUUAUCCGGAAUUAUUGGGCGUAAAGCGUCCGCAGGCGGCCUUUCAAGUCUGCUGUUAAAGNCGUGGAGCUUAACUCCAUUAAGGCAGUGGAAACUGUUGGGCUUGAGUGUGGUAGGGGCAGAGGGAAUUCCCGGUGUAGCGGUGAAAUGCGUAGAUAUCGGGAAGAACACCAGUGGCGAAGGCGCUCUGCUGGGCCAUAACUGACGCUCAUGGACGAAAGCCAGGGGAGCGAAAGGGAUUAGAUACCCCUGUAGUC